ensembl:lncRNA
ACUAAAUCUCCAAGAGAGUGGGCUUUAUUUUCUUCUUAGGGAAAAAAUAUAUGAAAAAGAGAGAGAAAGAGAGUAGUAAGGAUGCAGUGUUUCUUGUAAGGAACUCCUUUUGAAGAGAUCAUGCUAAAAAGGCUGUUAAAGGGAUCACUUGCUGCUGUAAUUUGUAGAAAGGAGCUCUCUUAAUUACAGUCAGAGUUUAUUGCAUCUCUCCUUCUCUCUCUCCCCCCAUGUGCGUGCAUGCAGAGAGCUCGAGAAAGCUGGCAGCGCUACCUGAAUAGCUAUUGAAAGAGUGUGCGACUUCUCAGUGCCUGCUUCAUUACUGGGUGCAGCUCUUCCCAGGCGUGAGAGCGCCUAACUGCAUUCUCCUAUCGCAAAGCCCUCGGCUGGAAAUCUUCUCAAGGGAAAGAGGGACAGUAUGGAAAAAAAAAAAAAGAGAGAAACAAACAAACAAAAAAGUAUGAAAAGGUGAGCUCUUCUCAUGAUGACUCUAGUAUCCAGAUGUUAAGUAGAAGUGACAGCCAGAUCAGGUCCUGUGCACCUGUGCAUGACAGGUAUUUCUUCAGGAGGAGGGAACCAGAGGAAAGAAGCUGCUGCCCAGCAUUCACCAUGAGUGCAGAAGAGGGGUCAUACAUGAAUGUUUUGUCUCCUUUCAGGACAGUGAAUCAUCAUAUCAGAAAUGUCUGAUGUGUCACUUGUGUCAGCCCGUUGUCCAGAAUAAGCUUGUAUUGCUCAUGGUUGUUACUUCUGUUGAGAUUUAAUACAGGAUCUACUAAUUCUGUGGUAUUGCCAUCCUUACUGUGGGCAUAGAUUUUUAUAUGUGCCUUGGACAAAAAAAUAUAAGAAAAUGCUUCCUAUACACCACCCAUAUGCCCCAGAGUGCUUCAGUUCGUGAGCCUUCACUUACUUACUCUGUAAUAGAAACUUCACUUUUAGGAGAGUAAAUGGAAUUCCAUCUUAGCGGGAAAUCCUAUUCCAGAAAAC